rnacentral:lncRNA from 1 species
CAGGGCGCCAGGGCCAGUUACUGUGCGCCUCACGUGUAGCUAAAUCUCUUCAGGUGUAGUUUUGAGCUCCUAAGCAGCCCGCUGUGAGCUAAAUCGGACUGAACUUUGGCAUGGACAAGGAGUGCCUCAGGUAGCCAACACCCUUGGCUGUGUGAAUUUUGGCUGAGAUGGUGAGGAGUGCUGCCACCCAAGUAUGAUUCCACCGCCAAAUCCAUCGAUGUUUCAUACUGAGAAUGGGUGAACAUGAAGAGUAUGGCAACAAUUCAAGGAAAACAAGUUGAUGAACAUAAAGGUUCACAAAGAAGUUGAGAUACAAAACAAAGAAAUGAAGAUGUGUAAGACAAUACCUACAUUCAUCCUGCUGCUUACAGGGUAUUUUGUUAAAAAUAUGCAUGUUCAUGCAACAGAUCCAACACUAUUAUUGCAAACUACUUCCAGUGUCACAGAAGCUUCUCACCAAGAAACAGCAACAGCUGAUUCAAAACCAGUAACAACCGGACCAGAAAAUGAGUCGAGUCCCGUUCCAGAAGAACGUUUGUCAUCUACAGUAGUGGCAGGAACCAGCAUUUCCCUUGUGAUCAUCUUGAUAUGUGUAAUUGCUUUUUUUUGGUUCAAAUGGAAAUCGUCUAAGGAAAGUUCAGCUGAAAUUAAUUCUGACCCCUCCAGUGAAGCUGUGGUGACCUUAAAAAAUACCAAGUUAUGAAAACCAAU